rnacentral:rRNA from 1 species
AUUGAACGCUGGCGGCAGGCUUAACACAUGCCAGUCGAGCGGUAGCACAAGAGAGCUUGCUCUCUGGGUGACGAGCGGCGGACGGGUGAGUAAUGUCUGGGAAACUGCCUGAUGGAGGGGGAUAACUACUGGAAACGGUAGCUAAUACCGCAUAACGUCGCAAGGCCAAAGAGGGGGACCUUCGGGCCUCUUGCCAUCAGAUGUGCCCAGAUGGGAUUAGCUAGUAGGUGGGGUAAUGGCUCACCUAGGCGACGAUCCCUAGCUGGUCUGAGAGGAUGACCAGCCACACUGGAACUGAGACACGGUCCAGACUCCUACGGGAGGCAGCAGUGGGGAAUAUUGCACAAUGGGCGCAAGCCUGAUGCAGCCAUGCCGCGUGUGUGAAGAAGGCCUUCGGGUUGUAAAGCACUUUCAGCGAGGAGGAAGGUGGUGAACUUAAUACGUUCAUCAAUUGACGUUACUCGCAGAAGAAGCACCGGCUAACUCCGUG